UGAGCGGGGGACAACUGGCGCUGAUCGUGGGGCAACCACGGGGGAGUCACCCGAACUUCAAAUUGGAUCGCGCGCCUGGGUCGGAGGG
rnacentral:ncRNA from 2 species